rnacentral:lncRNA from 10 species
UUAAUAUACUAUAAAAAAUCCAUGUAAAACUGGAAAAGCCCAAACAUACCAUGCAAAGCCUGAGUCCUGCUAAUGCCCCAUCAGGAUUAGAAGCAAAAAUUCAGUUAGUUCUGCCUGCUAGGGUUUGCAGUGGCUUAUGUCAGGAAGUCUAUGACAAUUUGUCAUCAUGUAGAAAUAUGGCUGCAUCUGGAUUUUUCUAAACUAAGGGAAGCAUUUGUACAUCAAAAGUCCUAUUAAGGUUUUACUUUACUUUACUAUCAAGAACUUUUUGCCUUUUGGUUCUCUUAUAGGUUUGGUGGGUAAAUCCCCAUUUAGAAUAAAGGCCUAUUUCUUAUCCUCUGAGCUGGAUAAGCUAUUCAGGCAGAGAACAACCUUUGAAGUUAAGGGAAACUGUGCUAUCAAGCCAAACGUGAAAUAAAAUCAGAAGGGGACCCCUAAUGCAUUAUGGAAUACAACGCAGAAUUUGGCCGAAGGUGAUGCUAAUUUUCUGCUCUUGUCAAUGAAAAACAGACGCCAGGACGACUUGCUUGCAUUCAUCUGAAUCCACAUGGCAGCGUCAGAAAGCUGGUCUCAUGGAUCCAUGGAAAUAAUUUUGAUAACUUUAACUCCAUUUCCAGUUGCAGGUAUGUUGUCCAUAGAGUUCCAUUAAACAAUAUUUUUAUUUCAGUCAUUUACCAUUCAAUGAGUCUUUUAAAUCCUGUAAAGUCGUGGAAAAAAGUUCAAAUUGGCUAUAAAUGAUUACACUAAUUUUCUGUUUUCUUUCCAUUUCUUUUCUGGUUUUCCUUUUAAAAUUGCCCCUCUUGCCUGCAGCAUAUUUUGCAUCAAAAAAUGUAUGGAGGAUGGAAGACCCUUUUCACGCAGCAGCUGGGACAGAGUAUUGCUCAGGCAACUUGUUCCCUCACACUAAUUUUUGUCUGCAUUGUAAAAAUAUUUUAAAUGGUUUUGCAUGCUGCAUGAAAAUGUGGAAAUAACUUAUACUGUUUGGUGGUAAAAUGUAAGAAAUUAGACAGAUGCAUGAAUGCUCUUAUGGGCAGAAGAGAAGCAGCUGCUUUCCAAAAACACUCUGAACUUUCAGAAAAGGGAACAGUCACUGAUUCUAGAAUCAGGAGGAAGAAUACAUAAAUGUUAUCUGCUGCUCCUUUUGGUUAAUUUGGUUAUGGAAGGCAGCUUCUGAAAAGGGUCACACGCACCGUAUUUUGGCAUAAAAAACAGAAUCACAAGGAAGAGAAGUACCUCCCCCACCCCCACUUGGGCUGUGGGAGGACCCUCAUCCAUCAGCGUCUCUGGUACAGGGAUAGCUGCUGGCUCAGUGGCUCUGGCCUUCAUCCUGGGGUCCUGCUGCUGCCAGGGUGCUGUCUUCUCACCUUUUCAAAGACCCUCAUCUCUACUGUCCCAUAUCCAUCCCUGCUGACCAAAGCAAAACUAGGUUUUUCUUGCUUUUCCUGGGCUGAGCCUCUUAUUGUUCCUAGACACAGCCAGCCUGGUGAGCACAGGCAAACUGGACAUUGGAAGACCCAGCUGCACAAAGACUCCUUCCUGUGAGAGGCUUGGAGAAGACUUUGCUCUAGACACACAAGGGAGCCUGUGGGAAGGUGCCAGGGGAGCCAAGAAGAGCAAAACCAAGGAGGCAUUGUUUCCUCCAGAGCCUCAUUCAUCAACUCGCUCUGAACAGUUAGCACGCUCAGACAGUCAUCUUCUGCACCUUGCCUUUCCCUGUGUCUUGACUGAGGGCUUAUCUGAGAGCCUUUUGUUCAGGCUCAUAAUUAUUCAGUGACUCAGGAGCCCACAAGCAUUACCCACGGAGCCAGACAAGACCAGCAAGCUCUGAGGACCACCUGUUCCAAGUCAUUUCCUGUGUGGGCGGCAACUUCACAGGGCUGAAAAUACGAGUUACGGUAAAAAUGUCUUCAACCCUGGCGCGCUGGAUUGUUGAAACUCGAUGGAAUCUUGCUUGAUUAUGUUCAGGCCAGACACAUUUCAUUAUCAUUCUUUGCAUAUAUAUUAAAAACUCUAACCCCUUUACAAACAAAUGUUCUCAAGGGGCAGACAGCACACCCUUGCCUCAUGACAUUGCUCUAAUAGAGAAAACACCCCAGUGUUUCACCCAUUAGGUCAGAUCCACGAACACAGAGUGCAGUUGGGAAGGAUGUGGGCAGUAAUGAAGGUGGUGCUUUUUGCUCCUGUGGGUGCUAUGGACAGGUGAGGGUUCAAGGAUAUUAACAACAAAUUUUAAGCCAUACCUUACACUACAUUGGAGCUUAAUCAAAUUCUCUGUUCACAGUAUGCCUAAAUUGGCCAAUGGAACGGAAAAAAAAAAAAAAAGCAACCCACCCCCAAGAGUUAUUUAUGUCAUGUAGACAAAACCUGGGUUCGUUGACUGAUUAUUUCCACUCUCUAGUGAUGGUCGUUGCAUUUUCACUCUGAGUUGAAUUGCUGCAUUUUUCCAUAAAUAUAUCUGCUCCUCUGGAAGAAGCUUUGUUGCUUAGCCUUAUUGCCCUUCACGUCUGCCUUUCUGACCUCAUAGACUGUCAAGUUCUUAGUUGGUGACUAAAGUAUAAAAGUAAUUUCUUUCUCUCUUUUUUAAAAUUAUUAAAGCCACACAUGCUCACUACAGAAAAGUUAGAAUGUAGAUAUGUGUGAAGAAAAGAAAAAUUAGCCAUUAGGCCCACAAUCUAGGGAAAACUCAUUUUGGGCAUUUGGAUGGCUUUAAUAUGCAUUCACUAUUAAAUGAUGAAUAUGAUAUUAUACAUAGUAUACUAAUAUAUUAUGAUGAUGGAUCAGUGCUGAUGUGUUUUAACAUAAAUGUAUAUGUUAGUAAUGCUGCUGUUUUAUCUUAACAGUUUUUCAAACUUGCAUUGUUUUGCCCUUCAGCUAAAAGGGUAGGGAAUUUGCUAGGGAUAUAAAUUCAUUAAUCAUAAAAAUUAUGUCAUAACAGCCUGCACAGAAAUCACAAUAGGAUGCAGGACAUAGAUUAGACUAGAGUUGAGAUUCUUGCCCCAACCACAACUGUUCAGGCUUU